GCUGGACUUACAGACUCACUCCUAAUAGAUCUAUUGUCCUAUAGGAAGGUGGCUUCCAAAAUUAGAUUAUAAAAAGACUGUGCCUUCUGUCUUGGGUGCCCUCUUUUCUCUCUCUAGGAGGAGCCAGCUGCCUUGUCACGAGGCAGCCCUGUGGACAGGCCCUUGUAGCAAAAAACCAGGCCUGCCAGCAGCCGCAUGAGUGAACCUGGACGUGGAUUUUUCCCUGGCUGAGCCUCAGAAGAUCGCACCCCUGGAACACACCCUGAUUAGUCUCCUAAAAGACCUGAGCCAGAACCACCCAGCUAAGUUGCUCCCAGAUUCCUGACCUACAGAAACCGUGUGAGAUAAUAAAUGUCUGUUGUUUUCAGCCAUUACAUUUUGGGGGUAACUUGUUACACAGCGAUGGAUAAAAUGCAUGGUAACGUCAAUAGCACAAUUUUAUUUUAAAAUAACCCUAUUUUCCAAAACAAACCGACAAACAAGUUUCAGGAGAAAAGAGGCAUCGUUUUACGUUUUUGCAAACCUCUUCAAUAUCUGGCCUAAUCGAAGACAGCUGCUUCCUCAUAGUGGCUUGGGCACCCACUGUGUUGUGAUAUGUUGUUUUUGUUGAAGAAAAUCCAGCCUAAUGGAGCUUUGCAGUUAGAAAAGAACAGUCUGAAAAGGGCUCAGGGAACCGCAGGGAUCCUCAGACCACACUUUGGGAACUGCUGACCUAGACAAUCAUAGACCCCAAAAGAUUCUAAUUCUAGGGCCCUCACUUCCAAUCUUGGUUUCCUGUUUGGGACCUUUGCCAUUUCUCCAGGUGCCCGAGCGACUUAGUGGUGCCGGAGGCCACCCAGGAGGUCUGGCACCCCUUCCAAAGGGGAUAAGGUCCUCCGAGGCCUAAAAGCAGAAGACCCUGAUGAACUAACUCCCAGUCUUGGCUGUGUCAUGCCCAAGAUGUCACACAGAGUGGAGAGGAUGCCUCUGACACCCAAGGAAGGUCCCUGGAGAGUGCCAGCACUACUGAGACAAGCCAUGCGCCCCGGCUUCCCUCCCAAGCAACACAUGUUCCUGGUUCUAUUUUACCCUGGCCCCCCGCAGGUUCGCACAGGCUUCCCUGGGGACCGGGCGUUGUCAGAUGGGUCCCCGCAGGCCCAGCGUCCGUCCACCUCGCUGGGCAGACUUUCUCUCCAGCGCACAGCGCCCCAGACAUCUGCGCGCCAGGUGCCUGCCAGCGGCACGCGGGUCUGGGGUCCCAGCCUCGCCCGGAGCCAGCCAAAGGCCUGCCCGCGAGCGAUCCGGAUCUUCUGGCACCUUAGAGGUUAAAUGGGAAGCCUCCAGCUGGAAGGAAAAAACGCCCCGAUGCUAUGCGCGGAGGCUCCAGGCGGUGUCCCCAGCGUCCCGGGCUUCCUCCGCGCAGGGCGGCUGUGCGUCCUGGAGGCGUCCGCGGCAGAAGAUGGAAUCCAAAAGUGGGAAUUCGUCUUUCUAGUUUUGAAGCAGGAGCAGACAAUCAAACCUGCAGCAGCUCAGCUCCCCAACGCGAAGGUCUAGCCAGCCUUGGGCGGGGAAGCGUUUCUAGAAAUGUCUACGCCCGGAGCCACCAGCGGGAACCAGGAACGCGGGGUAUGGCCCGGACCUGCCCGGCUUCUCUUCCCUGAGCCUUUGGGACCAUGCCGGAGAGAGGACAGGCCACCUAUCGCAUUUCAGGAGUGGCUUGUAGGGUUCAAGGGCCGUUUGCCUCCCUCUACUGCAGUUUGGAAACAGAAUAAAGCGCCCUAGCAAAGCCUGGCGAACUUGUCCAAACCACACAAAAGUUCAAACCACAGAAACUCCAACUGGGCACCGAGCUCAGGGCUGGAUUUAUCUGUCCCCAGAGGGCUUUGCUCUGCCUCGCAAUUGAUUAGGGCUCCUGAAAACCAUUGAAACAAUUUGUCUCGCCCACCCAGCCUCAAGCCCCUGACGGACUGGAGUGGAGCCUGGAUUGUUCUGGCAGCCAACCCCAGCCCAGAUUCCACCCAGCUUGGCGGCGCCCAGGGCCACCUGCCCGGCUCCACACUCCACAAAGGGUCCCCAUUUUGUGGUAGGAAAUAGAAUGGCAGAGAGCAAGAGGGUGAGAGACGGGGAGAUGAGGGAUUUGGAUCUACGAGGGGACAGAAGCAUUGUGUCCACUGAACAGGGUGGGGGGCUUUCCAGGAGCCCCCUUUACUUUCACGCACUCUCUCCAAUUCUGCGUUCCACUCCUUUCUCUGCACCCGGAGCCCUGCAGCACGGGUGGCCCAGUCCUCAAGCCCAGCCUUGCCUUUUGAACUUCUUCCCAAGCAGCCUGUCCCUGUAGAAUUUACAUACUCUCAGUUGUUUUCUGUGGAAACUCUUAACUUAGGAGGCCAAUGCCACGGCCAUGAGAACAUUCUUCACCACAGAAAGCAAGAUCCUUUUGUCCACCUGUUCUUCAAAUCUGAUCGGAGGGGAAGGAAAGGUUUUGUAAAUAAUCUUGUGGAGAUUUCACUGGGAGGAGUCAGGAAUUAAAGAGUGUGCUUUUUUUUUUUUUGAGACGAGCCUUGAUUUGUCGCCCAGGCUGGAGUGCAGUGGCACAAUCUCCACUCACUGCAAUCUCCGCUUCCUGAGUUCAAGUGAUUCUCCUGCCUCAGCCUCCUGAGCAGCUGCGAUUAGAGGCGCACAUCACCACGCACAGCUAAUUUUUUUUUUUUUUUUUUUUUUGAGACGGAGUUUCCCUCUUGUUACCCAGGCUGGAGUGCAAUGGCACGAUCUCGGCUCACCGCAACCUCCGCCUCCUGGGUUCAAGCAAUUCUCCCGCCUCAGCCUCCUGAGUAGCUGGGAUUACAGGCACACGCCACCGUGCCCAGCUAAUUUUUUGUAUUUUUAGUAGAGACGGGGUUUCACCAUGUUGACCAGGAUGGUCUCGAUCUCUUGACUUCGUGAUCCACCCACCUCGGCCUCCCAAAGUGCAAUUUUUUUUUUUUUUUUUUUUUGAGACAGAGUCUCACUCUGUUGCCCAGGCUGGAGGACAGUAGCACGAUCUCACCUCACUGCAACUUCCGCCUCUCGGAUUCAAGCAAUUCUCCUGCCUCAGCCUCCUGAGUAGCUGGGGCUACAGGCACAUGAUACCAUGCCUCUGACACCCAAGGUAAUUUUUGUAUUUUUAUUAUAGACAGGGUUUCACUAUAUUGGCCAGGCUGGUCUCAAACUCUUGGCCUUAACUCAUCUGCCUGCCUCAGCCUCCCAAAGUGCUGGGAUUAUAGGCACGAGUUACUGCGCCCAGCUAAUGUUUGUAUUAUUAGUAGAGAUGGGGUUUCACCAUGUUGGCCAGGCUGGUCUCAAACUCAAGUGAUCCGCCCACCUCAGCCUCCCAAAGUGCUGGGAUCACAGGCGUGAGCCACCACACCCAGCCUAAACGGUGUGCUUUAACAUGAAUUAAU
ensembl:lncRNA